UACGAAGGGUGCAAGCGUUAAUCGGAAUUACUGGGCGUAAAGGGUGCGUAGGCGGUUCGUUAAGUCUGUCGUGAAAUCCCCGGGCUCAACCUGGGAAUGGCGAUGGAUACUGGCGAGCUAGAGUGUGUCAGAGGAUGGUGGAAUUCCCCGUGUAGCGGUGAAAUGCGUAGAGAUCGGGAGGAACAUCAGUGGCGAAGGCGGCCAUCUGGGACAACACUGACGCUGAAGCACGAAAGCGUGGGGAGCAAACAGG
rnacentral:rRNA from 1 species